AUUGAACGCUGGCGGAAUGCUUUACACAUGCAAGUCGAACGGCAGCACGGGUGCUUGCACCUGGUGGCGAGUGGCGAACGGGUGAGUAAUAUAUCGGAACGUAUCCAAUAAUGGGGGAUAACUAAUCGAAAGGUUGGCUAAUACCGCAUACGCCCUACGGGGGAAAGCUAGGGACCUUCGGGCCUGGCGUUAAUGGAGCGGCCGAUAUCUGAUUAGCUAGUUGGUGGGGUAAUGGCCUACCAAGGCGACGAUCAGUAGCUGGUCUGAGAGGACGACCAGCCACACUGGAACUGAGACACGGUCCAGACUCCUACGGGAGGCAGCAGUGGGGAAUUUUGGACAAUGGGCGCAAGCCUGAUCCAGCCAUUCCGCGUGAGUGAAGAAGGCCUUCGGGUUGUAAAGCUCUUUCGCAAGGGAAGAAAACUUAUCCUCUAACAUAGGAUGAGGUUGACGGUACCUUGAUAAGAAGCACCGGCUAACUACGUGCCAGCAGCCGCAGUAAAAC
rnacentral:rRNA from 1 species